CCUCUGUACCAGCUCUACCCCUUACUUAUAUCCAGGCACAUCAGUAUUCUUCAGGACAUGUGCCACAACUUCAACCAUCUCAACCACCUUCUCCUCCUCCAGUCUCUUCCCGACCAGUUGCAGUGAAACAGGGGCUCCAUGGUAGAACUCAGGAUCAUAAUCCGCCUGUAUCAUUUCAUCUCUUGAAUCCAGCGGUACCCAGCCCUCACCGCGUGGAUGAUCGAUCGACUUGUCUGCAUAAGUUACCGGGAAUACACAAGCGCAAUAAUCUACAUGGUUAUUAGCUACUUUUCCUGAUACUGUAUCUUUCUUAGGAGAAAAAGGGGAGAUCCCAAGUUCUCCGCUUACCCAGCAAAUUCACGAAUCCAGUAUAUCCGAUAUAGUCCACCGACUCCCCCUGACCUAGACGGGGCGCACCUGAGGGGGCAACUGGGGCAAUUAUAGCAUCAAUGGGCCCGCCCGAAUCUGUCCUCGUUGCCAUCCACCGGUCGAGGAAAUCCUUUUGGAGCUGGUUUCGCUCCACGAUCAUCCGCCGCAAUUUCGCGGGAUCUAACUUUUCAGUCUUGUUCUUGUAUGCGCUGAAAGCCCGCUCCAUGGAGCCGAACAGUGGCUCCUUGUAUUCUUCUAAUAAUGGCAUGAUAGCAUCAGAUCCUAAUUCAUCAAAGGAUUCGUUGAGCAGUGAAACGAUCUCCCUGUGGCCAAUUGGUUCCCUGGAGCAGAGAGUCGUUAGCUUUAGCGUGCCAGUGACAAUGCUAGGUAUACGUGUACCAAAGCCACUCACCAGGUUAUCACAUCAUGUCCCGCAGCCUUCAAGGCGUUGCUAACGGUCGUCAACGCCCGCUCUACGGGUGGAUGGCAAGUUAUCACCCCGUCACUAGGUCCAAGGAUACCAAAUCGUAGCUUACGCCCCUUUGGCUGAAUAACGUCCUUUCGCCAUGGCAUGGGUAUGAUCUUCGGGUCCAGGUUCCAGGGCGCAGCGGUCUCGGAGAGAACCGAUUCACAAAACAACUUGACGGCGCCGAGUGAACUGGACAUCGGCCCGCAGACAGCAUAUACGAAGUCCUGGCCUGCUAUACUAGGCCUACCUCCUAAAGUCGAGAAGCGUCCGAAUGAUGGCUUGAGGCCAUAGAGCUGGCAGAAAGCGCUUGGGAUGCGGAUGCUACCGGCAAUAUCUGUUCCAACGCCCAACGGUGACGCUUUCAUUGCGAGAAGAGCUCCCUCACCACCACUGGAUCCUCCUGGAGUUAGCCCCUUGUGGAUAGGGUUUCUGGUUUCGCCCCAGACCCGAUUAGUAGUUUCUCCCAUCAUCAUAGCUGUGGGGACGUUGGUUUUCACGUAAAAGACUGCACCCAGGUCUCGAAGCAUGGUUACGAGGACGGAGUCCUUCUCGGUGGGAACGUUCGCAUGCACCGCCAUACCGAUUGAUGAUGGAUGAGGACAAGUGACAAAAUUGUCUUUCAGAGAUAGCGGCAAACCGUGGAGUGGCCCUAUGACAGACCCAGUGCGUUCCAGGUAUUCAUCGAGAUACUUUGCCCUCUCCAGGCCUUCAUUGAACAGGACUUCCGUUACACAGUUCGUCUAAGAAUAGGAUAUUAGUAUUUUUUUUUCUUUUUUUUUUCUUUUUUGCAAGGGUAAAGCUUAUCGCUGGGAUGGUCAACGUACAAGUUUUUGCGCAAUCACAGUCGCCCGGCAGAAUGCAUUUGUUACAUCGACAGAGGUCAACUUUCUCUCUCUUAUCUUUUGCAGAAGGGUUUCGGCAUCGGAAUCGAUGAUUUCUAGCUCCUCCGGUGAAAGGAGUCCCGAGGUUUUUGGGAACGAUCUCAGGUCCUGAGGGAGGCUGUCCUCUGCAAUAUCAGUGAGCGGGAAGAAGGCCGACAGCGAGUCAUUUCGCCGUUUCUGCACGAUAGCUGAGAUUUCCUUAUAUGUUUGGCCCAUUUUUGGUUCCAACGAAAUCCAGUAGUUAGUUACUUAGUAGUUAACGCGGGAUGAAAUAUGUUUCUUAUCAAGCAGACAAGCCACGUCCUUUUGUAUAUAAAGAUUGCCGGAAAGGGACUGAGGGGCAAUUGGUGGGUGGGACAGGUAACAAGGCUUGCUCGGAUGACCAGCUGCAGAACGUGGCGCAAUCUUUUCGGGAUUGUAUUGUAUAAGUCUCUCGAAUGAGCGUUGCUGGAUAGAAGCCGAAAUCAUUACCGCAAUAUAGGAUCUAAAAUAACCUCGGGCAUGGCACAACCAAGAUCAUUCUGAGGAAAACCUUCGGGAUCAGUUCCAAGGCAAAAUGCCGAUUCGACACCAGGAUUGAGGAAACAAGGCGAG
rnacentral:sRNA from 1 species